ACAAACUUGGUCAUUUAGAGGAAGUAAAAGUCGUAACAAGGUUUCCGUAGGUGAACCUGCGGAAGGAUCAUUAUCGAGUGAAAUGGUUUCUUUGAAACCUGACCUCUCCACCCUUGUUUUUGUUCUAUCCAAUUGCUUUGGUGGGCCAGCCAUAUUACGGCUGUGGUGGGUGCUUGGUGAUCAACCGGGACCCGACCUCCGUGUCCACCAGAGGUCUUAAACGCCUGUGGUUAAUGAUUGGCUGAGUGGUAGAAAUUGGAAUAAAUGAAAACUUUCAACAAUGGAUCUCUUGGUUCUGGCAUCAAUGAAGAACGCAGC
rnacentral:misc_RNA from 1 species